rnacentral:rRNA from 1 species
UACGUAGGGUGCAGGCGUUAAUCGGAAUUACUGGGCGUAAAGCGUGCGCAGGCGGUUUGCUAAGACAGGUGUGAAAUCCCCGGGCUUAACCUGGGAACUGCGCUUGUUACUGGCAAGCUGGAGUGUGGCAGAGGGGGGUAGAAUUCCACGUGUAGCAGUGAAAUGCGUAGAUAUGUGGAGGAAUACCGAUGGCGAAGGCAGCCCCCUGGGAUAACACUGACGCUCAUGCACGAAAGCGUGGGGAGCAAACAGG